UCAUGUCUGUCCCCCUGAAAUUAUUCCGGAUUAUUUACUAGUUGUUUCUGUUUUUUUUUAGUUGUUCCAGGGGGACUACUUAGCUUCCACUCCUCUGUAUGCCGCCAUUUUGGAUCUUCCUUCACAGUCCCACUUUUGAUGAGAGCCAAUCAGAAUGUCUGGAUAUGUAUUUUGAAGUGAGACUUGAGAUGGAUGAAAUCUUUUGUGUAAGUCAGUUAUCUUCCACAAUGCUGUAAUUUCAUUUCAACUCUUUUUCCAGUGCCUGCUAUAUUAUCUCUCAAUGUGUGCUUUACUUAGAGUACAACCACUCUAUCAAUACAAGGUUCAUUGUGAAUGAUCAAAAAAUGAUCUAAGAAUGUUGCUUAGAACUGAAGAAUGAACAUCUUUUGUCCAGGUUGAGUAAUAAUUUAUAUUGACCAACUAUGUAUGCUGAAUUAACUUAUUCCAUUAAAGUGUAAAACGAA